rnacentral:rRNA from 1 species
GAAAAGAAACUAACGAGGAUUCCCCUAGUAACUGCGAGUGAAGCAGGAAAAGCUCAAAUUUAAAAUCUGGCGGUUCUUGACCGUCCGAGUUGUAAUCUAGAGAAGUGUUACCUGUGCUGGACCGUGUACAAGUCUCCUGGAAUGGAGCAUCAUAGAGGGUGAGAAUCCCGUCUUUGACAUGGACUACCUGUACACUAUGGUACGCUCUCGAAGAGUCGAGUUGUUUGGGAAUGCAGCUCAAAAUGGGUGAUAAAUGCCAUCUAAAGCUAAAUAUUGGCGAGAGACCGAUAGCGAACAAGUACCGUGAGGGAAAGAUGAAAAGAACUUUGGAAAGAGAGUUAAACAGUACGUGAAAUUGCUGAAAGGGAAACGCUUGAAGUCAGUCACGUUGGCUAGGAAUCAGCCUUGCUUUUGCUUGGUGUACUUUCUGGUUGACGGGUCAGCAUCAAUUUUGACCAUUGGAUAAAGUCUUUGGGAAUGUGGCAUCUUAGGAUGUGUUAUAGCCCAUUGUCGCAUACGGUGGUUGGGAUUGAGGAACUCAGCACGCCCGCAAGGGACGGGUUUUUUUAACCACGUUCGUGCUUAGGAUGCUGGCAUAAUGGCUUUAAUCGACCCG